rnacentral:rRNA from 1 species
AGAUUGAACGCUGGCGGCAGGCCUAACACAUGCAAGUCGAGCGGCAGCACGGGUACUUGUACCUGGUGGCGAGCGGCGGACGGGUGAGUAAUGCCUAGGAAUCUGCCUGGUAGUGGGGGAUAACGCUCGGAAACGGACGCUAAUACCGCAUACGUCCUACGGGAGAAAGCAGGGGACCUUCGGGCCUUGCGCUAUCAGAUGAGCCUAGGUCGGAUUAGCUAGUUGGUGGGUAAGUA